GGAGGAGGGGAGGAGGAGGAGGACGAGGUCGUGCUGCCAGGCACACUCAGUCACAAGAGGGAAGGCCAGCCGUCUGGGCUGGGGUGCAGCGCCCGUGUCUCCUCACCCUGCAGUGGCUGUGGGUGCCUUACCCCUCAGGGAGACCCAGAGCCCUGCCGAACCGCAUGGGCAGACCCUGCACCGUGGACUCUGUGUGAGGCCGUCCCUUGGCGCCACGUGCUCGCCUCCGUCUGUGGAGCUUCUGUCAGUGCUGAAUAAUUGUUGUGUUGCAACUGUGCCACCUCUGCUUUUGCCUGCUUGUGACACUGAGUGCUGAUUUCUUAGCGCACCAGGGAGACACUGUGGACUCGUGUGAGGAGCGGAAGUGAUGGGGCCGGGGAACCCAGCGUGAAGCCGCUGAGUCUGCAGCAUAAACAGCUCAGGCAGUGGGGUCCAGGGCUCCACUGGGUGCUGGCGGGGGAGGUGGACACAGAGCAGACCCGGGGCCCUCGCAGGCCGGGGCCUUGUGCCCACCCCCAAGGCGCGCACAACCUUCUCGCCUUGCCUCGCCUCGCCCUGGGCCGGGGGAGCCUGCCGAGGGCACCCCUGGGGGCCCAGGCAGGAUCUGAACCCAGCUCAGUCUGACUCCAGUCCAGGCUGCAGCACAGCAGAGGCCAGCCUGUCCCUGUCUCCUGGACUUGGGGCACCGUGAGGGUGCUGUGGCUCCGCCCCUGGAACCUUCCCCCUGCCGGCCAGCUGGUCAGUGCCGGGCGGCUCGGCCCCUGCCCUUGGCCCCUGUCCUGGCCCGGACCCAGCGCUGCAGUCUGUUUCCCAGACAGGAAACGUGAAUCAAAACAGCAGGACACACUACACCUCAGUUAGCAUGGCCUGACGAGGAGCAGGCCCGUGCCUCAUCUGCCCGCAGAACCCUGCCAUCUGGCCAAGGGCUCCGCCACAGGGACAGGGAUGGGGACGGGGACACAGAGACGGAGGGAGGUGCAGGCAGAGAGCAAGAGCCAGGCAAGAGGCGAGGGAAGGGGCAAGGGGGAGAGGGAGGGAGGAAGGGAGAGACGCAGGAGACAGACACAGGGGCCCGGGAGGCCGGGGAGGGGCCGUGAGAGGCCCUCGCGCAGCUUCUGGGCUGGACCACGCUGGUUCUGGUGCUGUCCUCCUCUCUGGUUCUGGGCCCUGGGACACGGCCUCUCUGUCCUCCUCUCUGGUUCUGGGCCCUGGGACACGGCCUCUGUGCCUCCCCCUGCCUCUCUGUGGCUGCCCCUUGCGUUCGGUCCGCCCUGCCUGCCCCUGCCCCUCUCUGUCCUGGUCCCCUCUGCCUCUCUCAGCCCCUUCUCUGGCCUAUGUGCUUUCUGUCCCUUUCCCUCACAGGAAAGGCCCGAGACAGAAGGACACCGGGGUGUCCUGCAGCGCCGCCUGUGUCGCCUCUCCCCUCCUCCGCCGGGACCCCCCAGAAGCUCCCUCCUGGAAGAGCCAUCAGCUCCCCGAAGUGACCUCGCUGCCGACCUGCCUCCCCGGUGGUCCUCCCCGGUCGGUGGGGUGAGGGGUCGCAGCUGCGAGGGUCCGGGUCUUCGGGGUGUCUCUUUGGUGCUCCCCACUUGGAGGCCUGGGGUCCCUGGGAGCGGUUCUCUCCCGUGCUCCCCACGUCUGCCGUUCCACGUGGUCUUCCUGCUGCUCGUAUCACCACCUCCCUGUGUUGCCGCUGUGGCGGGGGUGGGGCCAGACCUUCUGAGCACCUGGUGGAAACUGUGAGGAGAGUGCAGAGGACAUGCCCGUGGUCGAUCUGGGCGGUCAUCACUUUCCCUGUGGGAAACUUGCCCAUUGAUACGGGAGGCUCCACACACCAUCGCGCCUUCUUCAGACCAAGAUGCCCGGCCUUUAUUUACAAAGAGAAAAUAAUCGACGCUUCAUCCGAGAACCAGCGCAGGAUGUUAGGCGCGAGAUCAGGGAAGGAGUGUGGUCAUUUGUGUAAGAAAAUUCAGAAAUCGACAUCAAGCGUAUGUAAAGUCCGAACUUGACGCUUCGUGUUCAUAAAGAAAAGUUACAUAAACUUGAAAAAAUGAAAGUUAUUUUGCUUAAGUGCCUGAAAAAAGAAUUUAGAAUAAUAUUUGGGUUAUCCUAGUUUGGUGCUGUGUUCUGGAAGCCUUGUCAGGGUCCAGGAGGGAUUGCAGAGCUCUGUGCCAAGAAGUGGGGUGUGUGCAUGCGUGUGUGAGUGUGCACGCGUAUACCUGUAUCCCCCACGUCCCAGCCCCAGCAAGUGCACAGGGACGGCGGUGGGAGCUGCCUGGUGAGGGGGGAAACCAACUUCCAUCAGAAAGGUAAGGUACGGCUAGUACAAAACCCCUAAAAUGAACACUAGUUUUCUCCAUGAAAAACCUCUCUUUUGGGGAGGGGCUUUGCAGGGGGUCCUGUAAUAGGUUAGAACCAAUUCCUACAGUUACCAUAAACCAGAAAUGCAAGAAAGAGGCUGCAUCUGCUCCCGCGCAUGUGGUGGAGUGUUUUCUUCUGGUCACUUGGUCCCCAAAGCCCUGGGUCCCUUCUGAGGGCACUUUGGAGCUCGCUCCUGGCGCUGUCCCCUUCUGCGGCCCAGUAGAUGGCGAUGUUACUGCUGGAGUCACCCUGGGCUGGGGGUGGGGAAGACAGACUGUGAUCCCCCAACCGCCCAGGCCACCCUCUCUUCUCCGGGUGCGCAACAGGCUCCACACGAAGGAAGAAAACCCUUCCCGAGGCGCCGUGUGCAGUGUGCCAAGCCCUCCGAGAGUAUUUAAAGUAUUUGAGCCAAAUGUUAAUUACCAGAUGGCCCCUCUGAGAUGGUCUGAGACAGCCCGGCUCACUGUGUCCUGGAAGAGUCUGGGGGAAAAGUGGGAGAAAUCUAGGCACUGUUUUGAUCUUUCAUCAGUAGCCUAACUAGGUCUUAAGAAAUAAAUUUGCUCACCUUUCUCCUGUAGCGAUUGUGGAGAAUGUGGAGGACAGGAAAUUCUCUGUGGCUGAAAAUGAGCAAAUGAAAGCAGGCAGGAACACACAGCAGGGCAGUCACGCUGCCACUCGAAACGGCACAUCCUGCAGACAGUGGGCUGAGCGGCACCUGCCCUGUGCCUGGCUUGCGGCUUCUGGGUCCCCGCGCCCCCACCAGUCCCCGGCAACCUGGCCUCUCUCACUGGGAUGUUUCCCCCUUUAUUGCAAAAACUAAUUCUUCCUGUCUUGCUAGACAGAAUCCCAGAGAAUGACAGCCACAUUCUUCAACGUGAUGUUUAAAUGAAAAGAAUUUAAAGACGUUUUUGGAUGGUUGCCACAGGACAACACGAUUCAUUAAUUUGUUUUAAAUAACUUGUAUUUUUUUCAUAUAAAAGGUAGUAUACAUGUUUUAAUAUAAAGGAGUAGUGUGUAUUUUAAAUAAACUGGAAUUCAGCAACGAGAUUUAUUUCUUUGCCUAGGAAUGAUGCUGUCAUUUCUUCUUUGGAAAAAAAAUGAGAGUCAUUCAUUUGACUUCAAUUUUAAAUACUACCUAAAGACAUAGAAAUAUGUAAAUGUAUCAUAGCACAAUGACUUCAUCAAGUCUGGCGGUAAUUAAUCUUGUAUCGGUCUUCACAAGUUUCAUUGACCGACAGGCUAGUUUUUAUACCUGUCUGUAUUUACAGAUUGUUCAUUUUAGUUGCCUACAAUUCAUAACUCAAGUCUACAUAUUAAUAAAAUGGUUGUGCAAAAAACCAGCUGUUUAAAUAAAUUCUGUUCUGCUUUAAAGAUUUUUGCCCUUUGGGGAGAAAGUCAUUUAAGUACUGAGUGACAGAGGCCAGCACACAAUAGUUAGAAUGUAAAUAAAUCUUCCUGAAACUUAGUUCUAAUUUUCUCCUGCAAGAUACUAACCCAUAAAAAAUAAACAUUGUUUAUUGAACCAGUUUGUAUGGAGUGAAAAGCUGUAAAACGAUACAGAAAAUGUGAACUUCUCUGUCCCAAGUACCUCGGUUUGCUUCAGAGCAGAGGGAGCUAUUGGAUAUGUAGACAGUGCAGAAAAUAAAAUUAGCAGCUCUGGUGAAAGAAACGUUCAAAUGUUGCUGUUGCACGGCGGAGAUCAUAUUAGAAUUAGCAGAAAAAAAGACGUGUCACUUGGCACCUCUGCACAGGGACAAUGUGAUCACACCCAUUAGCAUUGACUUGUGUCUCUGCCCGGCUGGCCUUCUCACAAUACUGUUUAUUUCCAGAAAUCACAUUUGUGACAGCCGUGAUAUCUGACAGUGAGCAUUUUCUUAUUUAGUUGAAAAUAUUUCAGGUUUCAGAAACCGAGCAUAGCAAAGAACUUGCCGUGUGUGACUUCACUGGCUGGGGCGAGAGAUUUUAAGACAUGAACUCACACAGCAUGUUGGAGCAACUGCAGCCUGAAAUAUUUUUAACGUUUCAGUUUGUAGAGCGGCCGGAUGGAACCUCGGCGGGAUGCGGCCCUGUGGACUCCUUUCCUUCCGUGGAAGGGCAGGAAGAGGACGGCGGCCUCGCGUGGGGGCUCCCGCCUCUGCCUCUGACUUGGGGGCUGUGCUUUCCCUGUUCGGCAGUGUCUGUAACCUUUCCGCGUCUUGUUUUUUUUUUUAAAGAAACUCACAACUGAUCUCUGUGAGGAAGGUGGGGCUGGGCAUUCGCGGAUGAAUGCGACCAGGGCACCAUGUUUCAGGGAGACCCACAGGGGCAAGGGCUCGGCCAGCUCAGCCCUGGCCCGCAGGCGCAGUGGGAGUCGGACGCUCUUGGGACUUUAGGGUCAGCUGCAGCCCCUGGAAGGAGGCUCAGAGCUUUGCACAAACAGCGCAGUGACUCAAACUGUCUGGCCCAGCGGCCCCCAGAGAGGGUGCCAGCCCCAGGCCUCUCCCCCGGCGUCUCCUGGGCCUGCUGGUCGGUGCUGGGGGCCUGGCUGGCAGCCCGGCGCUGGGCAUCGCAGACAGAGCUCUCCUGACCACCCAGUCCCAGGGUGCCCGCUGUGCCCAUGCUGGCACCAGACCCGGCCAGGCCAGAGGCCGGGAUGAGCUGGGCUGCUGCUGGCCGCUCCUCCCCAGGAGCCUACCUCUUGGCCGUU
ensembl:lincRNA